AUUGAACGCUGGCGGCAUGCUUUACACAUGCAAGUCGAACGGCAGCGCGGGCUUCGGCCUGGCGGCGAGUGGCGAACGGGUGAGUAAUGCAUCGGAACGUGCCCAGUAGUGGGGGAUAGCCCGGCGAAAGCCGGAUUAAUACCGCAUACGACCUGAGGGUGAAAGCGGGGGACCGAAAGGCCUCGCGCUAUUGGAGCGGCCGAUGUCGGAUUAGCUAGUUGGUGGGGUAAAGGCUUACCAAGGCGACGAUCCGUAGCUGGUCUGAGAGGACGACCAGCCACACUGGGACUGAGACACGGCCCAGACUCCUACGGGAGGCAGCAGUGGGGAAUUUUGGACAAUGGGGGCAACCCUGAUCCAGCCAUGCCGCGUGCGGGAAGAAGGCCUUCGGGUUGUAAACCGCUUUUGUUCGGGAAGAAAUCCUCUGGGCUAAUACCCCGGGGGGAUGACGGUACCGGAACAAUAAGCACCGGCUAACUACGUG
rnacentral:rRNA from 1 species